UACGUAGGGUGCAAGCGUUGUCCGGAAUUAUUGGGCGUAAAGGGCUCGUAGGCGGUCUGUCACGUCGGGAGUGAAAACUCGGGGGCUUAACCCCGAGCCUGCUUCCGAUACGGGCAGACUAGAGGUAUGCAGGGGAGAACGGAAUUCCUGGUGUAGCGGUGAAAUGCGCAGAUAUCAGGAGGAACACCGGUGGCGAAGGCGGUUCUCCG
rnacentral:rRNA from 1 species